rnacentral:rRNA from 1 species
GAUGAGCUCGCGGCCUAUCAGCUUGUUGGUGAGGUAAUGGCUCACCAAGGCGACGACGGGUAGCCGGCCUGAGAGGGUGACCGGCCACACUGGGACUGAGACACGGCCCAGACUCCUACGGGAGGCAGCAGUGGGGAAUAUUGCACAAUGGGCGCAAGCCUGAUGCAGCAACGCCGCGUGGGGGAUGAAGGCCUUCGGGUUGUAAACCUCUUUUAGCAGGGAAGAAGCCUUUGGGUGACGGUACCUGCAGAAAAAGCACCGGCUAACUACGUGCCAGCAGCCGCGGUAAUACGUAGGGUGCGAGCGUUGUCCGGAAUUAUUGGGCGUAAAGAGCUCGUAGGCGGUCUGUCGCGUCUGCUGUGAAAACCCGAGGCUCAACCUCGGGCCUGCAGUGGGUACGGGCAGACUAGAGUGCGGUAGGGGAGAAUGGAACUCCUGGUGUAGCGGUGGAAUGCGCAGAUAUCAGGAAGAACACCGAUGGCGAAGGCAGUUCUCUGGGCCGUAACUGACGCUGAGGAGCGAAAGCGUGGGGAGCGAACAGGAUUAGAUACCCUGGUAGUCCACGCCGUAAACGUUGGGCGCUAGAUGU